GAAGAUUUUUGCAAAAGCCUUGGGAAGGAGGUUAUGGUUGAAGGCAGCCUAAUCCCCUUUCCUUGUGAAAAUAACAUAGAGUAGACCACGCCUGUAAUCCCAGCACUUUGGGAG